AUUGAACGCUGGCGGCAGGCCUAACACAUGCAAGUCGAGCGAGCGGCGGACGGGUGAGUAAUGUCUGGGAAACAGCCUGCAGGAGGGGGAUAACUACUGGAAACGGUAGCUAAUACCGCAUACCAUCAGAUGUGCCCAGAUGGGAUUAGCUAGUAGGUGGGGUAACGGCUCACCUAGGCGGCGAUCCCUAGCUGGUCUGAGAGGAUGACCAGCCACACGGGAACUGAGAAACGGUCCAGACUCCUACGGGAGGCAGCAGAGGGGAAGAUUGCACAAUGGGAGGAAGCCGGAUGCAGCCCUGCCGCGUGUGUGAAGAAGGCCUUCGGGUUGUAAGGCACUUUCAGCGGGGAGGCGUUACCCGCAGAAGAAGCACCGGCUAACUCCGUGCCAGCAGCCGCGGUAAUAC
rnacentral:rRNA from 1 species